rnacentral:rRNA from 1 species
GACGAACGCUGGCGGCGUGCUUAACACAUGCAAGUCGAACGGAAAGGCCCUGCUUUUGUGGGGUGCUCGAGUGGCGAACGGGUGAGUAACACGUGAGUAACCUGCCCUUGACUUUGGGAUAACUUCAGGAAGCUGGGGCUAAUACCGGAUAGGAGCUCCUGCUGCAUGGUGGGGGUUGGAAAGUUUCGGCGGUUGGGGAUGGACUCGCGGCUUAUCAGCUUGUUGGUGGGGUAGUGGCUUACCAAGGCUUUGACGGGUAGCCGGCCUGAGAGGGUGACCGGCCACAUUGGGACUGAGAUACGGCCCAGACUCCUACGGGAGGCAGCAGUGGGGAAUAUUGCACAAUGGGCGGAAGCCUGAUGCAGCAACGCCGCGUGCGGGAUGACGGCCUUCGGGUUGUAAACCGCUUUCGCCUGAGACGAAGCGUGAGUGACGGUAAUGGGUAAAGAAGCACCGGCUAACUACGUG